GUGGGGAAUCUUGCGCAAUGGGCGAAAGCCUGACGCAGCCAUGCCGCGUGAAUGAUGAAGGUCUUAGGAUUGUAAAAUUCUUUCACCGGGGACGAUAAUGACGGUACCCGGAGAAGAAGCUCCGGCUAACUUUGUGCCAGCAGCCGCGGUAAUACGAAGGGGGCUAGCGUUGCUCGGAAUUACUGGGCGUAAAGGGCGCGUAGGCGGACAGUUUAGUCAGAGGUGAAAGCCCAGGGCUCAACCUUGGAAUUGCCUUUGAUACUGGCUGUCUUGAGUACGGGAGAGGUGAGUGGAACUCCGAGUGUAGAGGUGAAAUUCGUAGAUAUUCGGAAGAACACCAGUGGCGAAGGCGACUCACUGGCCCGUUACUGACGCUGAGGCGCGAAAGCGUGGGGAGCAAACAGGAUUAGAAACCCGGGUAGUCC
rnacentral:rRNA from 1 species